GACGUCGAAUAUCGACGUCAUAAACACCUAAGUUGAUCGUGUUUAUAACGUCGACGUCAUAAACACCAAAGUUGAUCGUGUUUAUGACGUCGAAUAUCGACGUCAUAAACACCUAAGUUGAUCGUUUUCAUGAUGUCGAACAUCGACGUCAUAAACACCAAAGUUGAUCGUGUUUAUCACGUCGAAUAUCGACGUCAUAAACACCAAAGUUGAUCGUGUUUAUAACGUCGACGUCAUAAACACCAAAGUUGAUCGUGUUUAUGACGUCGAAUAUCGACGUC
rnacentral:miRNA from 1 species